UGAGGGGGCGAGUCAUCCACAGUAGACUCUGGCCUCCCAGGAAACCCUGAGCUCACAGCACCCACGCACACCCCGAAUGGCUAUGGAAGCUGCAGGGCGCCAGGGACACUGGGAGUCCCUGCUCUCAUGGCAAAGCAGGGACGGGGGACUUAAAAGCCACCAACAGGAAAAUCGGGGAAAAAAGGGAGAUGGUGGUAACAGUUGGACACUAUUUCUUGGCAAAACCGUGGAAAAACACGUUCUACACCAGCAGGUGGCAAAUUGUGGCCGCCAUCUGUGUUUGCAAAUAAAGUUUAACUGGAGUUUG
rnacentral:lncRNA from 1 species